GACGAACGCUGGCGGCGUGCUUAACACAUGCAAGUCGAACGAAGAGCGAUGGAAGCUUGCUUCUAUCAAUCUUAGUGGCGAACGGGUGAGUAACGCGUAAUCAACCUGCCCUUCAGAGGGGGGCAACAGUUGGAAACGACUGCUAAUACCGCAUACGAUCUGACCUCGGCAUCGAGGAUAGAUGAAAGGUGGCCUCUAUUUAUAAGCUAUCACUGAAGGAGGGGAUUGCGUCUGAUUAGCUAGUUGGAGGGGGAACGGCCCACCAAGGCGAUGAUCAGUAGCCGGUCUGAGAGGAUGAACGGCCACAUUGGGACUGAGACACGGCCCAGACUCCUACGGGAGGCAGCAGUGGGGAAUCUUCCGCAAUGGACGAAAGUCUGACGGAGCAACGCCGCGUGAGUGAUGACGGCCUUCGGGUUGUAAAGCUCUGUUAAUCGGGACGAAAGGCCUUCUUGCGAAUAGUUAGAAGGAUUGACGGUACCGGAAUAGAAAGCCACGGCUAACUACGUG
rnacentral:rRNA from 1 species